GGUUGAUCCUGCCAGUAGUCAUAUGCUUGUCUCAAAGAUUAAGCCAUGCAUGUGUAAGUAUAAGUAUUAUACGGCGAAACUGCGAAUGGCUCAUUACAUCAGUUAUAAUUUAUUUGAUAAUCGAAAGUUACAUGGAUAACCGUGACAAAUUACAGCUAAUACAUGCAGUCAGACCUGGUCCAAGGGUCGUAAUUAUUAGUAUUAAACCAUUUCCUACGGGAGUGUGAUGAAUCAUAAUAAUUGAACGAAUCGCAG
rnacentral:rRNA from 1 species